GAUGAGCGCUGGCGGCGUGCCUAAUACAUGCAAGUCGAGCGAACGGACGAGAAGCUUGCUUCUCUUAUGUUAGCGGCGGACGGGUGAGUAACACGUGGAUAACCUACCUAUAAGACUGGGAUAACUUCGGGGAACCGGAGCUAAUACCGGUUGAUAUUUUGAACAGCAUGGUUUAAAAGUGACAGACGGUCUUGCUGUCACUUAUAGAUGGAUCCGCGCUGCUUUAGCUAGUUGGUAAGGUAACGGCCUACGAAGGCAACGAUGCAUAGCCGACCUGAGAGGGUGAGCGGCCACACUGGAACUGAGACACGGUCCAGACUCCUACGGGAGGCAGCAGUAGGGAAUCUUCCGCAAUGGGCGAAAGCCUGACGGAGCAACGCCGCGUGAGUGAUGAAGGUCUUCGGAUCGUAAAACUCUGUUAUUAGGGAAGAACAUAUGUGUAAGUAACUGUGCACAUCUUGACGGUACCUAAUCAGAAAGCCACGGCUAACUACGUG
rnacentral:rRNA from 1 species